rnacentral:lncRNA from 1 species
CAGAGUGUUGGGAACUAAGGGAGGCAGGGGAAGGAGGGGGAAGGAGGAGCCCAUGUCCGGCCAGAGUUCUUCUUAUGCUCUGGGUAGGCAGAUGCAGGAUAGCAGCUAGACGAUUUCCACUCAGCCCCAGGUCUAUUCACCUGUGUAAGGACACAGUUCCUGAAAGGGAUUAGAGGCUUUAACAUCAUGACACAAAAGCUUCCCAGCCAUAACUUAGAUUAGUGAAUGACAGAGCAACUGGAGAACAUGGUCCACCAGUCUGAAGCCUGGGACUGACAAUGUCUCUGAUUUCAUCUCAAUUUCCAGCAUACCUUGGUGCAUAUUCAGCACACAAUUAUUGCAAUCCUUGGACUCUCAUCACAGAAGACAUAGAAAUGAGUUUGUGUCAAGUUCAUAGUGAACAGGUCCUGAUGGGUGGACUUCAUUU